GAUUUCAACUGAAAAAGUUAUCAACAACAAAGUUGUAUAACUCAUCAAUAUCUAUAACUUUUAUUUUGGUCAUUUCUUCAUCCGAUAAAAUGACAGUAAUAUUGUUCACAAAAUUUGUAUAUAUCUCUUAUAGUUUAUAAAACCAUGUAAGAGAUAUGUAAAUUUUGUGAAUAAUAUUACUAUCACUUCAUCGGAUGAAGAAAUUACCAAAAUAAAAGUUAUAGAUAUUGAUGAGUUAUACAACUUUGUUGUUGAUGACUUGUUCAGUUCAAAUC
rnacentral:pre_miRNA from 1 species